rnacentral:tRNA from 1 species
GCGGGUGUAGCUCAGUGGUAGAGUACCGGGGGUAGGAAAUCUUGAUUGGUUUCUGUUGAUACCUGGAGGUCGUGAGUUCGAAUCUCAUCACCCGCUCCA